GAAAUAGUGGCAUUUUAACAAUCCCACUUGUUUGGUUAAUGAUUAUUUAAUUUCUAGUCAAUUCCGUUUCCCUUUUCCAUAUCUGGAUUGACUAAUCAGAAAAUUGUUGGGUUACUUUGAGUUUUGAUUGAUAAGCCGCCAUCCACCAUCCCCCAGCCCCUGAAAAUCCCCUUCGGUGCAGUGAUAAGGCUCCCAAAUUAUAUGACCAUGGGUGGCACGUCAUAAAAAUAUAUUGAUUAGACAAAUUAAAUUCUUUUUCGAGUCUUGGCGAGGCAACAUCUUACCUAACUUGGCCGGAUUUAGUGAUUAAUCUAAUCAGCAUAUUAUAGCGGACAUAAAUAUACGAAUGCUUGCAAUAAAACAAAUCGUCUGGA